CAGUCCUCCCAGCUGGGCUGGGGAAGACCGCUCUCCUGGCAUAGGGAUAGUACCUGCUAAGGUAAUGUAUUGUAAAGCUCCCACUUAGCUGCUGGAGUAGGAAGGUUUUGGCUGUAAGUCCACUUUAUGGAAAUGGGA